rnacentral:lncRNA from 1 species
UGUGUAGAUGCACUCUUUGAUUUUGGAAUUUUCAAAAUGGCUGCCGCUCGCCUGGCAAUGGGGGAAGGGUGCCAUCCGCUAUUGCUUGCAAUGGCAAAUCUAGUUAUGGCACCCUCAACGGAGUUGGGGUGACAUAUUGUUAUUGUUCGUUUCUUUUUUUUCUUAUUAUUAUUAUUUUUAUUCUUCCACACUUUUUUGUCCAUUCUAUUUCUCGGAAUUGGCUUGAACAAUAUUGAUGGAACUAUACCAUAAUGUAGACCACCACAUUCUAUAGUGCAGUGGGGUAUGGCACCAUCAAGAUGGCUGCCGUUGCCAUGGAAACGAAACAAAUGUGAAAAAAUCCUGUUUUUUGUUUUGGUGAACUUUUGGAUAUGCUUUAACUCAGAAUCAUUAUAUUUUAAUACAAUGUAGGUGCCCACUAUAUACAGGUGUUGGAUGAUUUUGGCACUCAUUGGAACUACUAUGUUGCCAUGGAAACUACACCAAAAAUUUCAAAAAUAUCAAAAUGCUCCAAACUUCAUGAAACUUCACAGUAACGAUGAGCAACAUUGGAAGAUGUGGAAUUUGGCGUUGGAAUUUCCAAAAUAUCUGUUGUUACCAUGGAAACAAUGCAAAAAGGUCAAAACUUUGAAUUUUCACAGAACAUUCCAGAACAUCAAUGUUAAAUUUAUUCUAGAGACAUUAAAUGGUAUAUGAUUAUGGAGGGACAAAAUUGCAGCGGGG